AGAAGACUCUGGAGGUCCAAGAUGAUUACGUCUUUGUUCUACCACAGAGCCAUUGGCAGAGGCUUGGUGAAAGCAUGGUGAAAAACAUGAAUGAAAGAAGAAAAUACAAAGCCACAUCUGUAAAUGAUGCCUACGGUCAUACGGAAGAAGGCGUUGUAUGGAGGGGAAAGCGCGUUCCCGUAGACCGAGGUCCACCGUGGCGGCCAGCUCUCCUCUCUGCCCUGUUUCUGCAAGUUGGACGCACACUGCGUGGGUCUUGGAGAGGAAGGAAGACAGGCAGGCGACGCGAGCACGGUAGAGCCUUACUGGGCAGCACGCGUGCCCGGGGCUCGCCGUGGCCCUGGCCAUGUCCCAUGAA